GGCGGAGCGGGGAUUAGAACCCGUGACCUCCUGAAACUCCCAGAGAAACCAGCUCUGCCCUCCACCUCCCCGAGGGGUGGGGGAGUUCUGUGGGCCAGUACCAAGAAAGAGCUAAGAAGAUGGAAGAGAGGACAACUCUCCUAUAGCUGUGCAUGGGGCAAGGCCCGUGAAGCUUAUACAGCCUCUUUCUCUCAAUGCAGGGUACAAAUUUGGAGCGAGACUGGUAGCAAUUGACCGCUCUGGUAAGUGGACUGUGAGGACAGAAGAAGAAAAGACCACAGAAGCGAAAUCCCUAUUACCCAGAGAGGAAAGAAGGUUUUGGAUUCCAUUUCCCAAACAAGAAAAAGUGAGUGCAUUUUGGGUCGUGCAUAUGACCCAUUUUUUUUCCAUCUCAUUCUUGUGGGUACAUGUAUCGUACACGCUUGUCUGACAUUUGAAUGACAUUUUAGAAAACUGAUGAGGGCAGCAUCAUCACAGGGCUCCAACUGUGGAUUUGGAGAGGGGAGACUGGUGGCCGAGGGCCAGUAGAGAGGUUGAGGCAGGAGUCAAGGUAGGAAGUGAUGGAUGCCUGGAUCAGUGGGGUAACUGUAAGAAGGUUGGACAGUGAGUCAGAAUCGAAACUGCUUUCACUUACUCAGGGUGCCCCGAGUCAUGCCCCGUGUCCGUUCCAGGACAGUCGAUCAGUAGGUGUUUCUUGAGCGUUUACUGAGGGCAGGCAAGAACUCUUAUGAGCACCUGAGUUGGAGCCUGUCUUCCCAAGCCAGAGACAGAAGGAAGUUAUUGACGAACAAGUGCGCCCACCACAUAUAACCUUUGUUUUAUGGUAUUUGUUAAGCGCUUAACUUUGUGUGGCAAGCACUAUUCUAAG